GGAGAGAUGCCAGAGUGGUCGAAUGGGCUCGCCUGGAAAGCGAGUGUGCCCGCAAGGGUACCAAGGGUUCGAAUCCCUUUCUCUCCG
rnacentral:tRNA from 1 species